AGAGAAUGGUGAAAGUUUGUGAGGCUUCUGAAUGCCAAGAUGAAGACGAUGAUGGUGCUGGUAUUGGAAAGCCUGACCUAGCUAGAGUUCAAAAUUAUCGAAUCGAUGAUCUACCAGAAGAGGAAAGAUACCUCCGAAUCCACAUGUUCCCACAUUUCCUAAUAGCACGGGCUGAGGGGAAGCUAGCUACUUAUUUGAGCAGAAGAAGGAAGGGAGUCUGCCAGCUGACUUGAAGAUAUAAAAUCUUAGCAGGAGGGCAUUGUUGAUAUGAAUAGACCAAUUUGGGACGAACUUGAUCAAAGAUCUGUUUGAAAAACUUUCUCUUGUGGACUUGUAGAAAGCCUUCUCUUGUGGACUUAAUUUAUGCAGAAAGCCUUCUUCCUUUCAUAUUGAUUGCAGGAGCUGAUGAUAAGCAGAGCUAGGAGAAGAAGCUGUGAAGCCAGUGCAACUGCAUUGGCUUACUCAAUAGACCUAUUGGCAGAGAACUUAAUGGCCUGCUAACAGGUCAUGUAGAACCGUACCCUUAAUUUUAGGUAGAACGUGGUUGGAGUCCAAUGAUAUAUAUCUCACAGCAAAUCAAGUCCCCUUCGUAUAUGCAAAUCCUAAAUGCAUGCAUUCCCAUUUUUGUCUGUGGCUAUUGUCAUGGGGUUAGUAUGGUAGCGUUCAUGUCUCCCUGCCAGCCAUUUGCACUCAUUCACAUUUCCUAACUCAGGCUAAGGGCAUUGCCUGCCAACUCACUUGAAGAGAAGCAAACAUCUCAACUGGAGGGCAUUCUUGAUAAAGUUGUAAACAAGAUCCAAUUGUAAUGAUACUUGUUUAAAAGGAUGGGUUAUUGACGGGUUAUCCUUCCUUUCAGAACAGUCCAAACUUGGGAUGAAUUUGAUGAAUGAAGAUCUGUUUCAACAUGUGUAUGGCGGACUUAACACAUACAUAGAAAGCCUCCUUCCUUUUGGAGGCGGCUGCAUGGCAAAAGUUGAGUUUAUUCAUUGGGUUUGUUUUGCAAGCAAUUGGUAAUGUAAGUUGUCCAAAACCAAGUACGAACAAGGAUGAGAUGCAAUAUGCUUAUACAUUUAUGAAGGUGCAUGGAUGUUCCUUCCAAUAUAUAAAGUGGAAUUUCGCCAACUGAAUGGUUUUUGGUGUUGGUAUAUAUAAUAUAUGUGUAUUGGAAUGCCUUGCAGGUGUUAGUAUAUGGUUGCUGCUCAUUAACUGGUAUGGCCAUUAGAAUGACUUGGGGGUGCAUGUCUUCCCAUUCAAAUGCCUCUGCGGAACUUGCUUUGAAAUCUAUUGUGUGAUUUUAUGGCUGUUUCAUGAAUUGAUGUCAAUAUUUUUUUUAUCAGGUAUUGGAAACCCCAAAAAGAAAAAACUUCAAUCCUUCCUGUAACCAGUCAUCUAUAAUAUCUUUCUUACAUGGAUUGAUUUCAUUUAGAGAGCCCAUUGGAGAUGCUCUAAUGUCCAAAAACAAGAUUACAAGACCAAGAAUUUUACAGAUUUACUUGCCAAUUUGAAAUGAAGCAUACCCUGCACCUGGCAACCUCUCUUUAUUCUUUUUAAGGUAACAACAUUACUUACCAAACCUGCAGACAACAUCCCAUAUCUGAUUUCAGAACCCUAAUACCAGUCCCUGAUUUCAAAUGAGCCAAUUUUUUUACAACCCUCCUUUUCAUCUAUAAAACUGACCAUAUUGAGACUGAGAUAUGCGCACAAACUUCUCCCCUCCUCUUUGGUCCUCUCAUUACUGAUUAAAUUUUAGGGUUCCACUGAGACAGAAAUAGGGAGAGCAAAUGGUAAAAGUUUGUGAGACGUGCGAAGGCCAAGAUGAAGAGGAUGAGGGAGCUGUUACUGAGCCUGACCUGGAUAGGGUUGGAAAACAUUGAAUCCUUGAUUUACCAGAGAGGUCACUGCUCCUAAUAUCAGGUUCAUAGGUGAAAAAGUGCUGACCAGUUGCUGGAUACCAGUAGCACGAGGUUUUAGAUCCGUCCUUUUGGACUUCACUCUUCAACUUCCAGCCAUCAGGAAUUGGGCCUGCCUUCUGAGAGUGAAGAUUUCCUUGAAUGUACAGUGCUCUAAAAAAUCUCUCCCUUCUAUUCGUCUCUUGUUUGAGGAUCCUUUGAACCCAAAAUUCCUCAUCUAUAAGGAUCACCUGAUAAAGACUCUGAGACAGUGUAUCAUGUAACCAAACCAGUCCUUUCUAUUCGUCUGAUUACAGAUUAAGUUUUAGGGUUCAAUACGAAAUACAGAGAGAAAAUGGUGAAUUUUGUGAGGUGGCUGAAGGCCAAGAUGAAGGGGACAAUGAUGCUCAUAUUGAAGCGCUUGCCUUUCCCUUUUCCAAAACAUCGAAUCAAUGAUUUACCAGAGCCUAGGCUACAGACAUAAUCACCUUUGGCAACUCCCUGCCAUUAAAAAGUUGAAUGAUACAUAUCCUUCAUAAUCAUCCAGAUUAGGUGGAACAUGCUACGAGUCAAAGGAUAUAUUUGCACAAAAUCGAUUUCCCUUCAUCUAGGCAAACCAUACAUGCAGUAUCAUUUCUGAGAGGAAGCUGCCAGCAGCAGAAGGAAGCAAGUCUGCCGGCUCACUGGAAGAGAAGGAUAUCGGAAGGAAACAUAAUAAUAGAAGAGCACUGUGGAUAUAGUUUUAAAUAUAUUUUCAAUUGUAUUUAUAGUUAAAGUUAAGAGGAUUAUGUAUUGAUGAGCAAUAAUUCUGUUGGUCUAGUUAAAGGAUCACUUGGUUGUAUAUAAGUAUGUGACUGUAAAUAUGAUAACUAAUCAAUGAAAUGCCAUUUUCUUCUUCAA